rnacentral:piRNA from 1 species
UGCAGGCAUCUACAACACCAUUUUCU